rnacentral:rRNA from 1 species
AAUAGAUACCCUGGUAGCCCACGCCGUAAACGAUGAGUGCUAAGUGUUAGAGGGUUUCCGCCCUUUAGUGCUGCAGCUAACGCAUUAAGCACUCCGCCUGGGGAGUACGGUCGCAAGACUGAAACUCAAGGGAAUUGACGGGGGCCCGCACAAGCGGUGGAGCAUGUGGUUUAAUUCGAAGCAACGCGAAGAACCUUACCAGGUCUUGACAUCCUCUGACAACUCUAGAGAUAGAGCGUUCCCCUUCGGGGGACAGAGUGACAGGUGGUGCAUGGUUGUCGUCAGCUCGUGUCGUGAGAUGUUGGGUUAAGUCCCGCAACGAGCGCAACCCUUGAUCUUAGUUGCCAGCAUUAAGUUGGGCACUCUAAGGUGACUGCCGGUGACAAACCGGAGGAAGGUGGGGAUGACGUCAAAUCAUCAUGCCCCUUAUGACCUGGGCUACACACGUGCUACAAUGGAUGGUACAAGGGCUGCAAGACCGNGAGGUCAAGCCAAUCCCAUAAAACCAUUCUCAGUUCGGAUUGUAGGC